rnacentral:rRNA from 1 species
GUCGAACGGCAGCACGGGUGCUUGCACCUGGUGGCGAGUGGCGAACGGGUGAGUAAUACAUCGGAACAUGUCCUGUAGUGGGGGAUAGCCCGGCGAAAGCCGGAUUAAUACCGCAUACGAUCUAUGGAUGAAAGCGGGGGACCUUCGGGCCUCGCGCUAUAGGGUUGGCCGAUGGCUGAUUAGCUAGUUGGUGGGGUAAAGGCCUACCAAGGCGACGAUCAGUAGCUGGUCUGAGAGGACGACCAGCCACACUGGGACUGAGACACGGCCCAGACUCCUACGGGAGGCAGCAGUGGGGAAUUUUGGACAAUGGGCGAAAGCCUGAUCCAGCAAUGCCGCGUGUGUGAAGAAGGCCUUCGGGUUGUAAAGCACUUUUGUCCGGAAAGAAAUCCUUGGUUCUAAUAUAGCCGGGGGAUGACGGUACCGGAAGAAUAAGCACCGGCUAACUACGUGCCAGCAGCCGCGGUAAUACGUAGGGUGCGAGCGUUAAUCGGAAUUACUGGGCGUAAAGCGUGCGCAGGCGGUUUGCUAAGACCGAUGUGAAAUCCCCGGGCUCAACCUGGGAACUGCAUUGGUGACUGGCAGGCUAGAGUAUGGCAGAGGGGGGUAGAAUUCCACGUGUAGCAGUGAAAUGCGUAGAGAUGUGGAGGAAUACCGAUGGCGAAG